AGAAAGAAAAGAAGAAAAAGAAAAGGAAAAAGAAGAAGAAGAAAAUCAAGUUGGUCUUGUUCUUAACGAGUUUUUAAAUUUGCUUUCU
rnacentral:ribozyme from 13 species